rnacentral:rRNA from 1 species
UACGAAGGGGGCUAGCGUUAAUCGGAAUUACUGGGCGUAAAGCGUGCGCAGGCGGCUUUGCAAGUCAGAUGUGAAAUCCCCGGGCUUAACCUGGGAACUGCAUUUGUGACUGCAUGGCUGGAGUGCGGCAGAGGGGGAUGGAAUUCCGCGUGUAGCAGUGAAAUGCGUAGAUAUGCGGAGGAACACCGAUGGCGAAGGCAAUCCCCUGGGCCUGCACUGACGCUCAUGCACGAAAGCGUGGGGAGCAAACAGG